GUGAACCAUUUAUACCGGCUUAGAUCUAUACAUGCGAUAAUACUCUGUCUAGGAUAUAGACUAGAGGUAUACUGUUUAGGUUGUCGGAUAGAUAACCACCAGAUCAGGCCUAAAAAAUAUUCUAUUCUAUUCUGAGGUUUACAGGAGAUGCUGAACCUGCAUCCAGACGUGGACGCGGCGAAGCCUGAGUGCGGUUAAGUGGGAUAUGUGCCCAAAUAAGGAUCUUGCCGGUCGUUUGGAUAAGACGCCAGCAUGAGGAUCUUGCCGGUCGUUUUGGAUAAAACGCCAGCGUGGACCAGUCGACACGAGGACCGCGACUGUCCGCUCGCUUC